rnacentral:rRNA from 1 species
AGUGAACGCUGGCGGUAGGCCUAACACAUGCAAGUCGAACGGCAGCACAGUAAGAGCUUGCUCUUACGGGUGGCGAGUGGCGGACGGGUGAGGAAUACAUCGGAAUCUACUUUUUCGUGGGGGAGAACGUAGGGAAACUUACGCUAAUACCGCAUACGACCUACGGGUGAAAGCAGGGGAUCUUCGGACCUUGCGCGAUUGAAUGAGCCGAUGUAGGAUUAGCUAGUUGGCGGGGUAAAGGCCCACCAAGGCGACGAUCCGUAGCUGGUCUGAGAGGAUGAUCAGUCACACUGGAUCUGAGACGCGGUCCAGACUCCUACGUGAGGCAGCAGUGGGGAAUAUUGGACAAUGUGCGCGAGCCUGAGCCAGCCAUACCGCGUGGGUGAAGAAGGCCUUCGGGUUGUAAAGCCCUUUUGUUGGGAAAGAAAGGCAGCAGGUUAAUACCCCGCUGUUCUGGCGGUACCCAAAGAAUAAGCACCGGCGAACUUCGU